UUUGGAAAAAGCCGUUUUGUGUGUUUGUUUUGUUUUUAACUUCAGAAUUGUGGUGACACAUUUUUCAAACAAUUGCAUGACGCUGACUGUAUGCCAGAACCUGUUCUAAAUGCUUCAUAAACAUUAAGUUUUAAUUUCAGCUUUGAAACAAGCCUCCUACACAGCAACUAUUAUUAUGCCCAUUUUACUGACAAGGAGAUCAAGCUUUGCAGAGAGUAAGAUCACCGAAGAUCCCACAGCUAAGAGGCAGAGAUAAGAUUUAAACCCAGGUUCUUUUGCUGAAGCCAAGAUUGAGGUCCCGUGGUUGAAAGGUCUGUAAAUGCUGUGAUGUCUAAAGAUCUGAGUACCAGGAUGGGGAAGAAACAGAAGAGGCGAGUCCCAUCGAGAGAGCACAUAAGGAAUGGACCCGGAAGACCUGGCUAAAAUCUUUUCAUCAUCUCCUGCCAACAUUCAGCCAUGUCCCAUUUUGGAAGGUAA